AUUCCAGCUCCAAUAGCGUAUAUUAAAGUUGUUGCAGUUAAAAAGCUCGUAGUUGGAUUCCGGAAUGGGUCAGUUGGUCCGCCUCACGGUGUGUUACUGACUGGUCUGUUCUUCUUCGCAAAGACUGUGUAUUCUCUUCAUUGAGUGUGCUCAGGAUUUACGACGUUUACUUUGAAAAAAUUAGAGUGUUCAAAGCAGGCCUACCGCUUGAAUACAUGAGCAUGGAAUAAUGGAAUAGGACUUUGGUCUUAUUUUGUUGGUUUCUAAGACCGAAGUAAUGAUUAAGAGGGACAGUUGGGGGCAUUAGUAUUUCGUUGUCAGAGGUGAAAUUCUUGGAUUUACGAAAGACUAACAACUGCGAAAGCAUUUGCCAAGAAUGUUUUCAUUA
rnacentral:rRNA from 1 species